UAAGUAACCUGCCCUUCACUCUGGGAUAACGUCGGGGAAACCGGUGCUAAUACUGGAUAUGACCUGCUCGGGCAUCCGAUGUGGGUGGAAAGAUUUUAUUGGUGGAGGAUGGACUCGCGGCCUAUCAGCUUGUUGGUGAGGUAAUGGCCUACCAAGGCGGCGACGGGUAGCCGGCCUGAGAGGGCGACCGGCCACACUGGGACUGAGACACCGGCCCAGACCUCCGUACGGGAGCA
rnacentral:rRNA from 1 species